AGUCAUAUGCUUGUCUCAAAGAUUAAGCCAUGCAUGUCUCAGUACAAGCCAAAUUAAGGUGAAACCGCGAAAGGCUCAUUAAAUCAGUUAUGGUUCCUUAGAUCGUACCCACAUUUACUUGGAUAACUGUGGUAAUUCUAGAGCUAAUACAUGCCAACAGAACUCCGACCGGAGACGGAAGGAGUGCCUUUAUUAGAUCAAAACCAAUCGGUGGCGCGGCCUCGGUCGUGUCAUCGUACAACAUGGUGAAUCUGAAUAACGUUUGCUGAUCGCACGGUCUCGCACCGGCGACGCAUCUUUCAAAUGUCUGCCUUAUCAACUGUCGAUGGUAGGUUCUGCGCCUACCAUGGUUGUAACGGGUAACGGGGAAUCAGGGUUCGAUUCCGGAGAGGGAGCCUGAGAAACGGCUACCACAUCCAAGGAAGGCAGCAGGCGCGCAAAUUACCCACUCCCGGCACGGGGAGGUAGUGACGAAAAAUAACGAUACGGGACUCAUCCGAGGCCCCGUAAUCGGAAUGAGCACACUUUAAAUCCUUUCACGAGGAUCAAUCGGAGGGCAAGUCAGGUGCCAGCAGCCGCGGUAAUUCCUGCUCCGAUAGCGUAUUGCGCAAGUCAUUGGGACAUAAAGCGAAACCUAAAGGCAAAAUGAAAGUGAAUAUACGUGAGCGUGUGCCACUCACCGUAGUGAGCGCGCGC
rnacentral:rRNA from 1 species